rnacentral:snRNA from 1 species
GGUUGUAAAGGUGAUCUGCAUAUGAUAUAUGGCAUCUCACUGUUCACUAGGAAUUAUUCUGCUGAUCUAUUUGACUAGGAGUUUGUCCCCUUCCUCCAUAACCAUUCCACGUGCAUUGUUCCUGAAGUUGUGCACCCUGUGAGCGAAGACAAUCAUUCCAAAUAGGAGUGCCCCAUUCUUUGGCCAAGGAUGUAUGAUAGCUGUGUUCUCCUCCUAGAACCUUCAAGCAAGCUCAAGGUUUGGAUCUAGAAGUAUCCUAAGCAGAACUAUGCUCAUAGUGAUGAGAGAAUGAUGUAGAUAUUUAUCUAUGAAUUCUCUCCC